rnacentral:tRNA from 1 species
GGGGAUGUAGCUUAAUGGUAAAGCUUUGGUCUUCCAAACCAACGACGCGGGUUCGAUUCCCGUCAUCCCCUCCA